GUUGUAUAGUCAAGUAAUUAAGUGCAUGUGGUGGAUGCCUUGGCAGUCAGAGGCGAUGAAAGACGUGAUAGCCUGCGAAAAGCUCCGGGGAGGCGGCAAAUAUCCUUUGAUCCGGAGAUGUCUGAAUGGGGGAACCCACCUACUUUAAGGUAGGUAUUGCAACAUGAAUACAUAGUGUUGCAAGGCGAACGAGGGGAAGUGAAACAUCUCAGUACCCUUAGGAAAAGAAAUCAAUUGAGAUUCCCUCAGUAGCGGCGAGCGAACGGGGAUCAGCCCAUUAAGUUAUGUGUGUUUUAGUGGAACGCUCUGGGAAGUGCGAACGUAGAGGGUGAUAUUCCCGUACACGAAAGGGCACACAUAAUGAUGACGAGUAGGGCGAGGCACGUGAAACCUUGUCUGAAUAUGGGGGGACCAUCCUCCAAGGCUAAAUACUCCUGACUGACCGAUAGUGAACCAGUACCGUGAGGGAAAGGCGAAAAGAACCCCUGUGAGGGGAGUGAAAU
rnacentral:rRNA from 1 species